GUCAAACUCCUCUCGCCUAUCAGAGGAAGCCUGAGACUUCCCGGAGGAAAGAAAAUCGUCGGAAACGAGUGCGGCACAGUAGGAGGAGGAAAGCGGCGACGGAGGAAAGGAGGAGGAUGAAAGCGGUGAAGGAUGAUAAAGAGAAAGCCAUUGAUGAUGGUGACGAGGAUAGAGAGGAGAGAUCAUUAAUGGAGAGUGGGACAAAUCUAAGGCCGGUGACAAGGAUAACUAUGGCAACACGGAGGACACUGAGCUAAAGAUUGGGACGUGAUCAAGUUCGUCAAAGUUGAGUAUCUUUGAAUUUAAGUAAAGAUUGAGUCUUUUGAUAGUUUUUGAUCGAAAUACGGUUUUGAGUAUGAUUGAUUUUGAGUAAAAAUUGAGUCAAAUUUGGGUUUUUGAAUACGAUUUAGGUAUGAUUGAUUUUGAGUAAAUGCUUUGAUUGCUGUUGCAGUUGAUGAUUUUGAGUAAAUGCUUUGAUUGCUGUUGAAGUUGAUGAAUUAAUCUUCUGUUGCAGUUGAUGAAUUAGAUUCCAGCAAUCAAAGUGUUGUAUCAAACUGAUCCUGAAACAGAAGCUAUUAGACAUAGUAGAAAGCAAGAUCUGAUGGCUCGACAUGGCACUAUACUUCUUAUAACCUUCACUUAUGUCAGUUUAUACUUCUUAUAA